rnacentral:rRNA from 1 species
GUGGGGAAUAUUCCGCAAUGAACGAAAGUCUGACGGAGCAACGCCGCGUGAGUGAUGAAGGUUUUCGGACUGUAAAGCUCUGUUGUUUAGGACGAAAGUGCCUGUUGCAAAUAGUUACAGGUAUUGACGGUACUGAACGAGGAAGCCACGGCUAACUACGUGCCAGCAGCCGCGGUAAUACGUAGGUGGCAAGCGUUGUCCGGAAUUAUUGGGCGUAAAGAGCAUGUAGGCGGGAAUCUAAGUCUGUUGUGAAAAUGCGGGGCUCAACCCCGUAUUGCGAUGGAAACUGGGUUUCUUGAGUGCAGGAGAGGAAAGGGGAAUUCCCAGUGUAGCGGUGAAAUGCGUAGAUAUUGGGAGGAACACCAGUGGCGAAGGCGCCUUUCUGGACUGUGUCUGACGCUGAGAUGCGAAAGCCAGGGUAGCGAACGGGAUUAGAAACCCCGGUAGUCC